rnacentral:rRNA from 1 species
UACGAAGGGUGCAAACGUUGCUCGGAAUCAUUGGGCGUAAAGCGCACGUAGGCGGCUUUGCAAGUCGGACGUGAAAUCCCUCAGCUCAACUGAGGAAGUGCAUCCGAAACUGCAAGGCUUGAGUACUGAAGAGGAUCGCGGAAUUCCCGGUGUAGAGGUGAAAUUCGUAGAUAUCGGGAGGAACACCAGUGGCGAAGGCGGCGAUCUGGGCAGAUACUGACGCUGAGGAGCGAAAGCGUGGGGAGCAAACAGG